UUGACAUGCUGGGAGCUGGGAGCCAAGAGUUUAGAAGGUGUCCAGACUGGUCCCUGUCAUUGUGACAGAUGCUGAGCCUGGGCUGCACCUAUGCUCUGUACUCCAGGACCCCCAGCUUUACCAGCAGGGGGUGCUGAGGCAGUCUUAAAUGGGUCAGUGAAUGAACUUUCCCUGUCCUCUUGGGGCCCUGUCAGGAAUGUAGGCCCCUGGUCAUGGGGCACACUUCACUGCCUAAGGGUUUAUUCAAGUGUGUUUUUGAGUUUAGGGUAGGAGCUAUGACCUUGGAAAUGUGUCACUGGGGUACAGGUGACAGGAAUGAGUUUGUUUUUGCUAUGGAUGUUGUCAGGGAGCUGACAGCUUGAGGCUGUGUUGGAAAGUAGACACUGAUGAGUAUGAGAUGGUGAGCAGGUGUGUGUGGCAGGUACAGGGGGGCUUGGAGUCCACUGAGGUUUAUAUAAGAAGUUUGCUUGAGAUCUGCCUCACAUAUAUUCUCAGAUAGCACAGGAGCAUAGAAUGUAUUUCAUCCUUCCGUCCCUGCCUCUCAGAAGUAUGUGGAAGAAAGUUUAUGGCUAUACCUGGUGGGAUCCCUGGCCAGGCCAAGCAGCUCUGGGUAGAGAUCGAUCACCUUGGUCUGUAACGGCUUAUAAACCUGUCACUAGCAAGCGGGCACUCAGGAUAAACAGUCUAUUCAAUCUGCACAGCCAUCAUGAAUAGUUAAGGAAAUGGAGGCUCCAGGAGGAUCAGAGACUUUGCCAGGUAUGGCUGUAGGGGAGAAGGGAGGGACUCAGUCCCUGUUCUGAAGGAAGCUUUAGCUAUGACUGGAUGGAAGGGCUGAUUGGGAACCUUCUGGGUAGGUUGAUUGGGGAAUAAUGGAGACAGGGAAGGUCCCUGGCCCUCGGCUAUCAUCCAGCCUUUCCUUCCUAGAAUAUUUCAGAACUGAAGAGUCUGAAAUCACAGCAGGACAAGGGCUUAUCAACGGUCCAGAAACAAGAGUAUCACAUUAGGGGUCAGGGAUGCUGGGGGAGUUGUAUUCUUUAGGCCCUCAGAGGAUGAAGUAGGUGUGUCAGGGAGAUAGGCUGUACAUCCCAUCCUUUAAUGUACGGGGAGAGAUUGGGAUACUUUGUUUGUUUGCUUGGUUGGUUGGUUUUUCAAGACAGGGUUUCUCUGUAUAACCCUGACUGUGCUAGAACUCUCUUUGUAGACCUGACUGGCCUUGAACUCAGAGAUCCGCCUGCCUCUGUCUCCCAAGUACUAGGAUUAAAGGCGUGCGCCACCAUGCCCGACUUGACAACAUAUAUUUUAUAGAUAAGGAAGGCAAAGCUGAGGCAUAUUCGGGAUCAGGGUUGGGUCUGGAGAGGCAUUCCAUCAGGGCGGCACUGCCCCGUAGAAGACAGAAGUGCUGGGCUUUGGAGCUGCACAGCCAGCAUUUAUCUUGUGUCCCCAGGCCUGGCACUGUCUUAGCAUCUUAUCUCCAGACCUACUCAAGCCAGACGACCUGUUCCCUGCAGGCCUCCAGCAGAGGUGCUGUGAGUGUGAAGGGCACUUGGCAUCAUCAGUCAGGUGACGGUACUCACCAUGGGUCAGGGCCCGUGGUGGGAGCAUUCUAAUGGGAGACACUUUCAGCAGCAGCAGCCCUGUCAAGCCCAUGCCUGUGGCCAGUGACUGUGGGUGUCCACAGAACAUAAAGCUCAUGUAUCCCAAGCCCAA